UGUUGAUGAUGACAGAUCCAAAGGCUUGUUUCUCAAAACAUUCGCAGUGGCCGCCUAAAGCUUUCGCCUUCGCCAGGCUUGAGAGUUAAUGCUGCUACAUUCCUUCCUUGGAUGUCUGAAAUC
rnacentral:snoRNA from 1 species